rnacentral:rRNA from 1 species
UACGAAGGGGGCUAGCGUUGCUCGGAAUCACUGGGCGUAAAGGGCGCGUAGGCGGACGUUUAAGUCAGGGGUGAAAUCCCGGGGCUCAACCUCGGAAUUGCCUUUGAUACUGGAUGUCUCGAGACCGGAAGAGGUAAGUGGAACUGCGAGUGUAGAGGUGAAAUUCGUAGAUAUUCGCAAGAACACCAGUGGCGAAGGCG